AAGACUAUCCUUCCAGCGAUCACUUCUAUAGUUUGUGACUAGACAGGUUUCUCUGAACGUGUAGGGCACCCGAAACCACGAGAAAGAGAUGGAAUGUGUUCUGCUGAGUGUGAAGCCAGCUCUUGGUGUUGCUUCAGUAACUGCCAUUUGCCAUUGAUGACCAUUCUUCUCUCUCUUUUGAGAGAGCCAGAGGGAAAGAAUACCGUCUAAGUGGA